CCAGACUCCUACGGGAGGCAGCAGUGGGGAAUAUUGCACAAUGGGGGAAACCCUGAUGCAGCGACGCCGCGUGAGUGAAGAAGUAUUUCGGUAUGUAAAGCUCUAUCAGCAGGGAAGAAGAAGGACGGUACCUGAGUAAGAAGCCCCGGCUAACUACGUGCCAGCAGCCGCGGUAAUACGUAGGGGGCAAGCGUUAUCCGGAUUUACUGGGUGUAAAGGGAGCGUAGACGGUGAUGUAAGUCUGGAGUGAAAGGCGGGGGCCCAACCCCCGGACUGCUCUGGAAACUAUGUGACUGGAGUGCAGGAGAGGUGAGCAGAAUUCCUAGUGUAGCGGUGAAAUGCGUAGAUAUUAGGAGGAACACCAGUGGCGAAGGCGAUUUGCUGGGCCAUCACUGACGCUGAGGUACGAAAGCGUGGGGAGCAAAUAGGAUUAGAUACCCCUGUAC
rnacentral:rRNA from 1 species